AUUGACGUGGUGAAAGAAUGCUUGAAAAAAGGCGUUGAUCCAAAUUUCAUAAGCGAAGAAAAUUUGUCAGCUCUUCACAUAGUUUCUGAAACAGGACAUAGACAAAUGGCUCAGGUUCUGCUGGACGCCCCUGGAAUAAAUUUGAAUAUUAUGAGUGAUAUGGAUAUGACUCCUCUGAUGAUUGCAAGUUUCUAUUCGACCAGAGGUAUUCUGCAGGAGCUUCUGAAGAGGGGUGCCGAUCCCAACUUUCCGAAUAAAAAUGGUAAUCGAGCAUUACACUAUGCAUGCAUGAAUAGUGACAUGAAGAUUGUUUUCGACCUGGUCACCCAUGGAGCUAAUGUUAAAGUCCGAAAUGUGUUCGACGUUACUCCUCUGACGAUUGCUGCAAUUGACAGACAUUCCCCAGUAAUUACAAGAUAUUUACUGAGGAAAGGAGCUCACCAGAAGGCAUCUAAAGAGUUUCCUUUGUUGUUGGAAUGCGCUUUAGCUUGUAGCGACGAGGAGCGACUGGAUAUUUUCAAGUCGUUAAUCAAACAUGGCCUGGAAAUCAAUCAGGUACAUCCGCUUGAAAAGAGAAAUUGCCUUCAUUAUGUAGCGAUGACUGGUUAUGAACCAUUGGCGGCAUAUCUUCUCUCUGCGGGGAUAAAUCAUCAACAAGAGGAUGCAACCGGCAGGACACCUCUACAAAUUGCAGCAGAUCACAGACAUUUGGGAAUUGUAAAACUAAUAAGGGGCUGGCAGAAAAAGAAGGUCAAUUUUGUUGACUUAGCAACAGAAAUUAAAUGAGAUGGAAUUCUGAAUGAUGACAGCUACUUUUCUUGGGACAGAAUCAAAGGAGAAGAAACAUGUCACGUUGAAAUUAAUAUAUAAUUUUCAUGUAAUUUACAUUAUUUAUGUUCAGAUACUCAACAAUAGAAGUUUCAGGAUGACUGAAACAACACCGAGCAUAUUUCUUGCAGCAGAAUCCGUUCAACUAUGUUCAAUCUGUCAUGGAUACCUAUCAGUUGGACCCAUCUCAAUUUCAUACAAUGAACCAGUGUGUGGUAGAUGCCGACCACUGCCUGAGUGCACUGCAACGUUUUACGAAAAUAUAGCGAAGUAUAUGUUUUUUCCUUGUAUAAAUGACCGUUAUGGUUGUGAUAUCAUGUUACCUUGGAAAGCAGUGUCGUCUCACGAAAAAAAGUGUACAUUUUUUCCCGUCACAUGUCCCGCCUUGAAGUGCAUCCAGGAUAUUAGAAAGGAAGAUAUUGUGAAACACUUCGAAGAGAGUCAUGAAAAGUUGAUCACAAAUAUUGGACCAUUCCACGUAACUGUUCAUGAUGUACCUGUGAAUAAGUUACUUCGCUGGGAAGAAAAAACAUUCAUUAUGAAAAUUUCCUUUUCCUCACAGAAGUGGUAUUUCGAAAUUUCAUCAUGGGAAAAAAGUGAAAGUGCAAAACUGAAAUACGAAAUUUCACUAGAUGGUGACGAAAACGUAAACGGCUCGAGUACGGUUUGCGGUUCCAUUUCUACGUACCAGGAGAAGCAGCACCAAACGUCAACUAUAUUAGAAGUUAACCAUGUAAAGUCAUUCCAAAGAGGCACUAUAAAAAUUGAAAAGGAAUCGCUGAGCAACCCGUUACUAAACAAAGAGCUUUUGUCAGAGUUAGAAUGUCCAAUUUGUACCUUUUACAUGAGACCUCCGAUUUUCAUGUGCGUAGCUAGUCACAGUUUCUGUGAUUCCUGUAAGGUGAAUUUAAUGAAAUGCCCUUUGUGUCAGUCGGAAAUGAAGGAUAACAGAAAUUUCGUCCUGGAGCGAAUAACAAAGCACAUUUUUUUCCCUUGCAAAAACGAAUGUUCCGGCUGUGAUAUUGUCGAUAGAUUACCAAAAAUGAUUAUUCAUGAAAAAACUUGUCAACUUGAACCAGAAUGUUUCUUGACCUACUCAGUACCUUGUUCUUGGAGAGGACGUCAAUCAGAAAUCGUUUCUCACUUAUCGGAAAGUCAUCCAGAGUUUUAUAUAAACUUGAAUCUACCAAUUGUUUUGAAUUUGAAACAUUCUGAAACUAUUAUUGCUUUCACCGAAUAUGACAAAUGCAUUUUCAAGGUUCAUAUAAAUUGGGAUGAAUUAGCAGGACUCAAUGUUUGCGUUAAACUCGUUUCAGAUAGGCAGAAACAUAGUUAUCGAUAUUUUCUGAAUUGCAAAGAUCGCAAUGAGAAUCACAGAUACAUGAGUAUGAAUAAGUUCUGCCCCGUAACUAGACCUGAAGAUGAUACUUUGGACAACUGUUUAUCCCUCAAAAAACAAAUGAUGAAGCCCUUUUCAAAGAAUGAUAUGUUUGAAAUCAAAAUAUAUAUAGUGGAAAUUUGAAGGGAAUAGUAUUUAUCAACUUUUUUUAUGAAUCAACCACUGCGAGACAAGAUUAACGUUUCAAAAGAUACUUUUUGUAAAAUAAGAUCCUAUAGAAGAAAUACAAUCCAUUGGUUUCAAUAUGAAAAAA